rnacentral:rRNA from 1 species
GAUGAACGCUGGCGGCGUGCCUAAUACACGCAAGUCGAGCGAACAGACGAGGAGCUUGCUCCUUUGACGUUAGCGGCGGACGGGUGAGUAACACGUGGGUAACCUACCUAUAAGACUGGGAUAACUUCGGGAAACCGGAGCUAAUACCGGAUAAUAUUUCGAACCGCAUGGUUCGAUAGUGAAAGAUGGCUUUGCUAUCACUUAUAGAUGGACCUGCGCCGUAUUAGCUAGUUGGUAAGGUAACGGCUUACCAAGGCAACGAUACGUAGCCGACCUGAGAGGGUGAUCGGCCACACUGGAACUGAGACACGGUCCAGACUCCUACGGGAGGCAGCAGUAGGGAAUCUUCCGCAAUGGGCGAAAGCCUGACGGAGCAACGCCGCGUGAGUGAUGAAGGUCUUCGGAUCGUAAAACUCUGUUAUUAGGGAAGAACAAAAGUGUAAGUAACUGUGCACGUCUUGACGGUACCUAAUCAGAAAGCCACGGCUAACUACGUG